CGAACGGGUGAGUAAUAUAUACGGAACGUACCCUGGAGUGGGGGAUAACGUAGCGAAAGUUACGCUAAUACCGCAUACGUCCUGAGGGAGAAAGCAGGGGACUCGCAAGAGCCUUGCGCGAAUGGAGCGGCCGAUGUCGGAUUAGCUUGUUGGCGGGGUAAAAGCCCACCAAGGCGACGAUCCGUAGCUGGUCUGAGAGGACGACCAGCCACACUGGGACUGAGACACGGCCAGACUCCUACGGGAGGCAGCAGUGGGGAAUUUUGGACAAUGGGCGCAAGCCUGAUCCAGCCAUGCCGCGUGAGUGAAGAAGGCCUUCGGGUUGUAAAGCUCUUUCGGACAGAAAGAAAUCGGUUGGGCUAAUACCCCAACUGGAUGACGGUACUGUAAGAAGAAGCACCGGCUAACUACGUGCCAGCAGCCGCGGUAAUACGUAGGGUGCGAGCGUUAAUCGGAAUUACUGGGCGUAAAGCGUGCGCAGGCGGUUACAUAAGACAGAUGUGAAAUCCCCGGGCUCAACCUGGGAACUGCGUUUGUGACUGUGUGACUCGAGUACGGCAGAGGGGGGUGGGAAUUCCUGGUGUAGCAGUGAAAUGCGUAGAUAUCAGGAGGAACAUCGAUGGCGAAG
rnacentral:rRNA from 1 species